GUGCUCUGCACAUAGUAAGCGCUCAAUAAAUACUAUUGAAUGAAUGAAAGAUUAGCAUGGCCCCUGCACAAGGAUGACACGCAAAUUCGUGAAACGUUCCAUAUUUUU